CCAACCCGGAUAGCAUCCAUCCGGCAUCUUGAUCCCUUGACGCGCCUUGCCCUCAAUAGCUCAUCGUGACCCACUGACACAGAUGCAGACUCCGUGCAGGUGGAUCCAUCGAUGUGCUCCGAUCCACAUCGUUUACCAACUUGCUCAAUGGGUUAAUCCUCUCGCCUGAUGCGUAAUCUGCAGGUCAAACCACGGGCCGAACCGCCGAAGGGUCUUAAUCGCAAAAUCCCAGCGUAUCAAAAUGCCAGUGUCACAGUGUGUUUUGUUUUUUUCCUCGUGCUCGCUCAUCAGGUUGAGCGCGGCGCGGGCCCAUCUAGCUUACCUGGCAAGCCUUUUCCGUUUCAAAACGGAGUCGAAGAAGCCAGCUGCUGCAAGCUACGCUCCGCCACCAUUCCCAAUUUCCACCUCUCGAAGCCUGGAGCCGAGGGCCGCGGCAUGGAGGGCCUUUGGGGGAGGGCGCUGGCCUCCGCCGCGUCGGGGGGCCGGGUCGCGGCGGCGUGGGCGGCGGUGCGCGCGCGCGCGGUGGCGCCGGCGCUGGAGGCCGCGGUGUGGGUGUGCCUGGCCAUGUCGGUGAUGCUCGUGCUCGAGGUGUGCUACAUGAGCGUCGUCAGCUUCGUCGCCGUCAAGCUGCUGCGGCGCGUCCCCGAGCGGCGGUACAAGUGGGAGCCCAUGCCCUCCGUCGGGGGUACCGGAGGCGGCAAGGACGAGGAGGAAGCGGUGCCCGGCGGAGAGGCGUUCCCGCUGGUGCUCGUGCAGAUCCCCAUGUACAAUGAGAGAGAGGUCUACAAGCUCUCUAUUGGAGCAGCAUGUGCCCUCACAUGGCCAUCGAACCGUAUUAUAAUCCAAGUCUUGGAUGAUUCCACCGAUCCAUUCAUUAAGGAACUUGUGGAGCUUGAAUGCAAGGAUUGGGCCAGCAAGAAAAUCAACAUAAAAUAUGAGAUUCGAGAGAGUAGGAAAGGAUACAAAGCAGGAGCCCUGAUGAAGGGCAUGGAACAUAGCUAUGCCCAAGAGUGCGAUUUUGUUGCCAUUUUUGAUGCAGAUUUCCAACCUGAACCUGACUUCCUUUUAAGAACCGUACCGUUUCUCGUGCAUAACCCGAAGAUUGCUCUGGUACAGACACGUUGGGAGUUUGUGAACUAUGAUGUUUGCCUAAUGACAAGGAUACAAAAGAUGUCGCUAGAUUAUCAUUUCAAGGUUGAGCAGGAAUCAGGCUCAUCUAUGCAUGCCUUCUUUGGUUUCAACGGAACUGCUGGUGUGUGGCGGGUAUCAGCUAUUAGUGAAGCAGGAGGGUGGAAGGAUCGCACCACUGUGGAAGACAUGGACUUAGCUGUACGAGCGAGUCUAAAGGGAUGGCAAUUCCUGUAUGUCGGUGAUAUAAGGGUUAAGAGUGAACUCCCCAGUACCUUAAAGGCCUACCGUCAUCAACAGCAUAGGUGGACUUGUGGUGCUACGAACCUCUUCAGAAAAAUGGCACCGGACAUUGUUCGAAGCAAGGGCGUAUCUGUAUGGAUGAAAUUCCAUCUUCUGUACAGCUUCUUCUUUGUACGCAGGGUUAUCGCUCCCAUCCUGACAUUCCUGUUCUACUGCAUUGUGAUUCCAUUGUCCGUCAUGGUCCCUGAAGUCAGUAUCCCUGUCUGGGGAAUGUUCUACAUUCCCACUGCCAUCACCAUCAUGAACGCCAUCAGGAAUCCCUGGUCUAUCCAUAUGGUGCCGAUAUGGAUUCUGUUCGAGAACGUCAUGUCCAUGCACCGGAUGCGCGCCGCCCUGACCGGGCUGCUGGAGACCAUGUACGUUGACGAGUGGGUGGUCACCCAGAAGUUGGGCGAUCAUGUGAGGGAGAAGCUCGAGGUCCCUCUCCUCACACCGGUGAAGCCAACUGAGUGCGUCGAGAGGAUUUACGUUCCUGAGAUCCUGGUUGCGUUCUACCUCCUGGUAUGCGCAUCUUACGAUUUUGUACUCGGAGCCGGGCGCUACUACCUGUACAUCUUCCUCCAGGCCUUCGCUUUCCUCUUGCUUGGAUUUGGCUUCGUCGGCACAGCUGGACCCUGUUCUUGUCCAUAGACCAUAACAUAGCAGCAGCUGCAUUCUUCCCCAAUUGGCCUCACUCCGCUGAAGUUAAUUAGCCCGGUGAGCGGUGAACACUGCCUGAGCAGAGGAGACUGGACGUGUGGCUGGGUGGCUGGGGAUGGGCCUGGAGUGGACCAGAAGCCAAUCAAUCAACCAACCAGCCCACGGGAGCUUGUCUGAAUCCGUCGUCGUUGCGCUGCGACGAUGGACAGGAGCGGGGCCGCCGCCGUCGCUUUCAUCGGCCACCGGACGGCACAAAUAAUAUGCCCGCGAUCCGAGGGCCGUCACGUCGCUUUCCGUGGCCGUUCUUUUCUCCCUGUACCACGAGGGCGCAAGAAAAUUGGAGAAAAAAAGGGCCGACCAACAGGGCGUCGAUGUGACAGGUUUCGUCACUGACAGGUGGGUCCAUGCCGGACAGAUACUAUUCCUUUUGUGCACGUAUCAAGAUAUGAUGCGUCUGGGUGUCCUCUGAUUCGUUACACGUGUACGGUCUCAUGGGAAACUUUUCGGGCCAGGAUAAUCUUUUGUAUUAGGACAAGUCUCAUCAGCCCUGUGUAAGAUAUCUUGGACGUUUGGGUUUAUGCAAAAAA